rnacentral:tRNA from 1 species
UGUAACUCAGUGGUAGAGUGUUUGCCUAGCAUGCAUGAGGCACUGGGUUCAAUCCUCAGCA